UACGUACUGUGCGAACGUUAUUCGGAAUCACUGGGCUUAAAGGGUGCGUAGGCGGCUAUCUAAGUAGGGUGUGAAAGCUCUCGGCUCAACCGAGGAAUUGCGCUCUAAACUGGAUGGCUUGAGUGAGAUAGGGGUGUGCGGAACUUCCAGUGGAGCGGUGAAAUGUGUUGAUAUUGGAAGGAACACCGGUGGCGAAAGCGGCACACUGGGUCUUAACUGACGCUGAGGCACGAAAGCCAGGGGAGCGAACGGGAUUAGAAACCCCAGUAGUCC
rnacentral:rRNA from 1 species